UACCGAGGUCUCAAGCGUUGUUCGGAUUCAUUGGGCGUAAAGGGUGUGUAGGUGGCGACGUAAGUCGGGUGUGAAAUUUCGGAGCUUAACUCCGAAACGGCAUUCGAUACUGCGGUGCUUGAGGACUGGAGAGGGACGCGGAAUUCCAGGUGUAGCGGUGAAAUGCGUAGAUAUCUGGAGGAACACCUGUGGCGAAGGCGGCUUCCUGGACCAACACUGACACUGAUGAGCGAAAGCCAGGGGAGCAAACGGG
rnacentral:rRNA from 1 species